rnacentral:rRNA from 1 species
CCCCUAGAUGUUCUGGGCCGCACGCGCGCUACACUGAACAGUUCAACAAGUCUUAACCUUGGCCGAUAGGUCUGGGUAAUCUUUGAACGCUGUUCGUGAUUGGGAUAGACCUUUGCAAUUAUGGGUCUUCAACGAGGAAUUCCUAGUAAACGCAAGUCAUCAGCUUGCAUUGAUUACGUCCCUGCCCUUUGUACACACCGCCCGUCGCAACUACCGAUUGAAUGGUCCGGUGAAAUCUCGGGACGGCGGCUUGGUCGCUUGCGUCCGACUGCUGAAACUUGAUUAAACCAUAUCAUUUAGAGGAAGGUGAAGUCGUANCA